rnacentral:ncRNA from 1 species
AUAAUGUUUUAUUCAUUCAUAAAGGUUCUAUUUUUAUACAUAAAAUAUAUAAUUUUAUUGGGAUUAUUGAUUUUAAAUAAAUUUGGUUUAUAGUUUUAGUUUUUAUUUUUGAUAUUUUUUAUACAAGUAAUUUUAGUGAUAUAAGUUUUUUUAUAACAAAAAUUGUGCCAGCAGUUGCGGUUACACAAUUAUAAGAAUAGAAUUGAUUUGGUUUUAUAUUAAAAUUAAUUUAAAAAAUUAAUUUUGAUUUUAUUAAGUGAAAUUUUAAUUUUAAUUUGUUUUAUUUUUUUAUAUAUGAUGGUUUAAUUAUAAACUAGGAUUAGAUACCCUAUUAUUUAAAUUGUAAAUUUAUGCCAAAGUAGUAAAAGUUAAGUUCUUGAAAUUUAAAGAAUUUGGCGGUAACUUAUCAUUUCAGAGGAACCUGUCCUGUAAUUGAUAAUCCACAAUUAAUAGUACUUUAAUUUAAUUUAUAUACCUCUAUCGUGAAUGUCUUAAGAUGGGAUUUUCUAGUUUUUUUUAAAAAAAAAUGUUAGGUCAAGGUGUAAUAAUAUUAUAGUAGAGAUGGGUUACAUUAUUUCUAUAUGGGGAAUAUAUUUUAAAAAAAUAUAUAAAUUUGGAUUUGAUAGUAAAUUUAUAUUAUAUAAUAUAUUUGAUUUUUGUUCUAAGUUAUGUACACAUCGCCCGUCGCUCUCAUGUUUAUGAGAUAAGUCGUAACAAAGUAGGUUUAUUGGAAAAUAAAUCUAGAAUGU